rnacentral:rRNA from 2 species
UACGGAGGGUGCAAGCGUUAUCCGGAUUCACUGGGUUUAAAGGGUGCGUAGGAGGGCAGGUAAGUCAGUGGUGAAAUCUCCAAGCUUAACUUGGAAACUGCCGUUGAUACUAUCUGUCUUGAAUACCGUGGAGGUGAGCGGAAUAUGUCAUGUAGCGGUGAAAUGCUUAGAUAUGACAUAGAACACCAAUUGCGAAGGCAGCUCGCUACACGAAUAUUGACUCUGAGGCACGAAAGCGUGGGGAUCAAACAGGA